GCCUGGUCGUGGCCUAGUGGUUAGAGAAUCAGACUUGUAAGCCGGCGGUGAACCUGACGGUCGUGGGUUCGAGUCUCAGGUCUGGCA